UACGGGGGGGGUAAGCGUUGUUCGGAAUUACUGGGCGUAAAGGGCUCGUAGGCGGCCAACUAAGUCAGACGUGAAAUCCCUCGGCUUAACCGGGGAACUGCAUCUGAUACUGGAUGGCUUGAGUUCGGGAGAGGGAUGCGGAAUUCCAGGUGUAGCGGUGAAAUGCGUAGAUAUCUGGAGGAACACCGGUGGCGAAGGCGGCAUCCUGACCGACACUGACGCUGAGGAGCGAAAGCCAGGGGAGCAAACGGG
rnacentral:rRNA from 1 species